rnacentral:hammerhead_ribozyme from 1 species
AUCCAGCUGACGAGUCCAAAAUAGGACGAAAUGCUCGUCCUGUAU